rnacentral:rRNA from 1 species
GAACGCUAGCGGCAGGCUUAACACAUGCAAGUCGAGGGGCAGCGGGGAGGAAGCUUGCUUUCUCCGCCGGCGACCGGCGCACGGGUGAGUAACACGUGUGCAACCUGCCCCUGUCAGGGGGACAACCCGCCGAAAGGCGGGCUAAACCCGCGUACAUGCCACCGGGGCAUCCCGGAGGCAGGAAAGGCUUCGGCCGGACAGGGAUGGGCAUGCGGCGCAUUAGGCAGUAGGCGGGGUAACGGCCCACCUAACCGACGAUGCGUAGGGGUUCUGAGAGGAAGGUCCCCCACACUGGUACUGAGACACGGACCAGACUCCUACGGGAGGCAGCAGUGAGGAAUAUAGGUCAAUGGUCGGGAGACUGAACCAGCCAAGCCGCGUGAGGGAGGAAGGUACAGAGUAUCGUAAACCUCUUUUGUCAGGGAACAAAGACUGGGACGCGUCCCCGGAUGAGUGUACCUGAAGAAAAAGCAUCGGCUAACUCCGUGCCAGCAGCCGCGGUAAUACGGAGGAUGCGAGCGUUAUCCGGAUUUAUUGGGUUUAAAGGGUGCGCAGGCGGUCUGUUAAGUCAGCGGUCAAAGCCCGGGGCUCAACCCCGGCCCGCCGUUGAAACUGGCAGUCUCGAGUUGGAGAGAAGUAUGCGGAAUGCGCGGUGUAGCGGUGAAAUGCAUAGAUAUCGCGCAGAACUCCGAUUGCGAAGGCAGCAUGCCGGCUCCACACUGACGCUGAGGCACGAAAGCGUGGGUAUCGAGCAGGAUUAGAUACCCUGGUAGUCCACGCAGUAAACGAUGAAUGCUGGCUGUCCGGGGGGACUGACCCCUGGGUGGCGAAGCGAAAGCGAUAAGCAUUCCACCUGGGGAGUACGCCGGCAACGGUGAAACUCAAAGGAAUUGACGGGGGCCCGCACAAGCGGAGGAACAUGUGGUUUAAUUCGAUGAUACGCGAGGAACCUUACCCGGGCUCAAACGGGGAGUGACUCAGGCAGAGACGCCUGUUUCCCACGGGACACUCCCCGAGGUGCUGCAUGGUUGUCGUCAGCUCGUGCCGUGAGGUGUCGGCUUAAGUGCCAUAACGAGCGCAACCCCCGCGUGCAGUUGCUAACAGAUAACGCUGAGGACUCUGCACGGACUGCCGGCGCAAGCCGCGAGGAAGGCGGGGAUGACGUCAAAUCAGCACGGCCCUUACGUCCGGGGCGACACACGUGUUACAAUGGGUGGUACAGCGGGAAGCCAGGCGGCGACGCCGAGCGGAACCCGAAAUCCACUCUCAGUUCGGAUCGGAGUCUGCAACCCGACUCCGUGAAGCUGGAUUCGCUAGUAAUCGCGCAUCAGCCAUGGCGCGGUGAAUACGUUCCCGGGCCUUGUACACACCGCCCGUCAAGCCAUGGGAGCCGAGGGCGCUUGAAGU